UCGCUGCUCAGUUUCAAAAUAAAUAAUUUUUCAUAAAUUUAGUAUAUAUUGAUAGGGGGUUAAUUGAGGAAUCAAAACAGCAAAAAAAUAGGGGUCAAUGUGCAUGUUUUCGAGAUAUAAGCCAUUGGAAUUUUGGCGGGAAAAUGGUCUCUCUUGAUUUUUCAUAGCUUUAUCAUUGACCAGUUAAAGGUCUCAAAUAUUAUUAAAAAAUAAAUAAGAUUUUAUAAUACUUUUACAAAUGGCUUAUAAUUAUACACGUAAAAGAUUUAUAAAAAGAAAAAUGGGGUUCAUGGGCAAAUUUUU
rnacentral:lncRNA from 1 species